UACCUACGGGGGGCAGCAGUGGGGGAUAUUGCACAAUGGGGGGAACCCUGAUGCAGCGACGCCGCGUGGGUGAAGGAGCGUUUCGGCGCGUAAAGCCCUAUCGGCAGGGAAGAAGGAGGACGGUACCUGACUAAGAAGCCCCGGCUAACUACGUGCCAGCAGCCGCGGUAAUACGUAGGUGGCGAGCGUUGUCCGGAAUUACUGGGUGUAAAGGGAGUGUAGGCGGGAAAGCAA
rnacentral:rRNA from 1 species